CGGGCGGGGGGGCACAAAGCAUCAGCGUCGCGCAGAAACGACAUACUGCCUGACCUAGGAGGACGACUGUUCUUGUCGAAUGUCACCCAGAGUCUCCAACCUACACCAACGUCGUAACACUGUGCCAGACCCGCCGUAAUAAGAUGCCUGAAACGUCAGACUGCUGGCAGGGGUCACAGUCGAAGGGAUACGUAGGUUGAAAGGGCGCAGAGAGGUGGCGGCGUGAGGGACAGCUCGCCGGGUCGGGUAGUAGAGCCAGAGGCCCUCGGGGCGUUCGAGUCCAGGCUUGUCACGGUGCAGCAUAUUCUCAAAGUCUGUGGUAGGUGGCAGUGACCGGAGAACUCUGAAGUCGAGAGGGAGCUGGACCGACUGUAAGGAGGUGGAAAGCUCUGUGGGGCUGUUUGGCUGUUUUGUUUAUUUUGUCUUUGUUAUUUUAGUUCGUUGUGUUAAUUUAUUUAUUUUUUUUCCUGGAUCCCAUGAGUCGGAAAGGUAAAGAAUUUCUGUAGAAUCGUGUUCUCUCUCUGUGCAUUUAAAAUAAAGACCAGUAAAUUCCAGAA